GAUGAACGCUGGCGGCGUGCCUAAUACAUGCAAGUCGAGCGAACGGACGAGAAGCUUGCUUCUCUGAUGUUAGCGGCGGACGGGUGAGCAACACGUGGAUAACCUACCUAUAAGACUGGGAUGACUUCGGGAAACCGGAGCUAAUACCGGAUAAUAUUUUGAACCGCAUGGUUCAAAAGUGAAAGACGGUCUUGCUGUCACUUAUAGAUGGAUCCGCGCUGCAUUAGCUAGUUGGUAAGGUAACGGCUUACCAAGGCAACGAUGCAUAGCCGACCUGAGAGGGUGAUCGGCCACACUGGAACUGAGACACGGUCCAGACUCCUACGGGAGGCAGCAGUAGGGAAUCUUCCGCAAUGGGCGAAAGCCUGACGGAGCAACGCCGCGUGAGUGAUGAAGGUCUUCGGAUCGUAAAACUCUGUUAUUAGGGAAGAACAUAUGUGUAAGUAACUGUGCACAUCUUGACGGUACCUAAUCAGAAAGCCACGGCUAACUACGUG
rnacentral:rRNA from 1 species